CGGAGCAGGACGCGCAGGAGCCGUGACACACUGGGCUUUAUUUUCAUAACAGAACGGUGUAAAAUACCAGCCGUACCCUCUGAAAGUCACACUGUGGGUUUGGGCAACGAGUAGCUUUGCAGAUGACGACAUCGCCGUGGCAGCCAGCCAGGGGCAAUUACGCAGAUGUUUUUACAGCGUCGUGGGUUUGAGGACAGAUUCGGAUCGCUGCUGCGUCUCUGCUGUGCCAGAUGACAGGAGGAGACCGGAGCACCUGGAGGAAACCCACAUGGACACGGGAGACAGGGAGAACAUGCCAAACUGUACACAGAAAGGACCCAGGCUGCCCGACUUGUUAACAGAACCCAGGACCGUUUUGCUGUGGCACACACAUUAACAA